rnacentral:lncRNA from 1 species
ACUUACGAAUUGUUUAUUUGUGGAAUUUUCCGUUUGUUUUCAGACCACCAUACUGAAACUGUGGAAAGCUGCCGUGGCUAAGCAGGAACUGCUGUACAUAUUUAUUAAGCCCUUACUGUAUGCUGGGCAUUCACUCUUACUGUAGGCAGGCAUUCGCUCACUGAGCCUCUGAGUCAGCCCUGUGAGCUGAGUUUCUAUUUUACGGCGAGGAAACAGGCAGGCUCGGAAGGGUUAAGCCACGUGCCCAGUCCCAGUAGCCUAGCCGUGUGGCCCGGGGCCCCUCGGUGGUCUUGCCAGGGUGUGGGAUGCCUUUAAACCCACACAUCUGGGAUUGAAUCACAGCUCCGUCACUUCCCGGCUCUGAGAACCUGGGCAUGAGAUUUGAUUGUCUGAGCGUCAGUCUCCCUCUCUGUCAAAUAGGUAGCAGUACCUGCGGGUUGCGCGAUUCUGAGUUACCUCGGGGGAGUUUUCCUGGAGGAGGCCUCUUUACUUCUUCCUGAGCCUUUGGGGGCCCCCCACUAGGCAGGAGGGAAGAUCAGCCCUGCAGGUCAUCUGCUUCCUGGGGCUGGGCCUUGGGCCCUAAGGACGGUGGCGGUCCCCCACAAAGUGAUGAACUCAGCAGGGCUUUCUGCCUAGGCUCAUGGGGCUUUGAAGUUGGAAGGAAAGCGGCCUGGUCUGGGCUGUUUUUCCCAGCCUCCUCCUCCUCUGCCUCUCUGUCCCCCGUCCAUCGGCGUCUCCGUCUCCGGCCUAAUGGGGAGCCUUCCUCCUGUGGCUGAGUUAUCUGCUUGUCAUGCCAGUGGCCCACCCGAGGACGAUAAAAGGGCUUUUUGUCUGCAAGCACUUAGCUUCCUCUGCCGGGGCGAUCCAUCACAUCUGAGGGAGGCCGGGAAGGCAGACAGACGGUGGAGUGGGGCCUCCUCCUCCCCUGCUGAGGGAACCUGAUGCUCCCAGGAGCCCCCUUGCAGGACCCAAGUGGCUCCUCAGCCCGAAGGCAAGGCCUGUCUGGGGGCCAGCAGGGGUGAGUGGGAGUGGGGCCAUGGGGGCACAUUGAGGCAGGCAGAUGCUCUGCACUCCCCUGACAGAGGACAGACGCUGCCCGGAUGCCCUGCCCCACCACACCCACUUGGCAGCUCUGUGGGGCCCCUCUGGGACCCUCCAUGCUGGAGAGGGUGGGUGGGGGGUGCAGCCUUUUCUGAGUAAGAACCGUGAUGGUAGAAGGGGGCAUGGGGGAGACAAGGGGGGACAGACCUCAGGGCCGACACUCGCUAUGCGUGCACUAAGCACUUUGUGGAAUUACCUCCUUAAAUCUCAGGGCGACCCUGGAGGUGGGCACCGUCCUUAUCCCCAUUCUCCAGAUGAGGAAACUGAGGUACAGGGAGGCGAUGUGGCAUCCCCAGGGUGCAGCAGCAGAGGGAGGGCUUGGCUCCAGGCUCCCAGCGGUACACUCUUCCCUGCGGACCUAGGACCUUAGAAGGGGGCUGUGGGAGCCCCUGGCCCCAAAAGUGGGUUGCCCGUGACUCGAAACUCUGUGAGUGGAUUCUUCAGCUGGGAGUGGGGUGGGGAGGUGGGUGUCUGGGAUUGUCUAUACAUUGGGGUGAGGGGUCCGGUGUGGGUGGGGGCUGGGGUCUCGGGGUACCCUGGGCGGGUGAUCGGGGACACCGAAGGUGUGUAGGGGGAGGUUUUAGGGCCCUGGCCCGGUGGGAUCUCACCUCUCGGGGGCUCUGGGAGGACCGGCUUUAACCCCAGUUGGACGGGGCCCUGGGCCCUGCUUGGGUGGGGAGGAGAGCAAUUCAGGGCCCCCUGCCCUUCCCUGUCUGCGCCACCACCCUUCCCUCUCUGCCAUCCUCCUCUCUCUCCUUCCCAGCCUGGAUGCUCAGCCCUGGGCGGGGGCUCCCUGCAAUCCCUUCCUCCCCUCCCCCUUCCUUCCUGCUCCCUACCCCUCCUUCUCCUCCCUCCUUCUCCCCACAGGCCACCCUCAAAUGACAGCAAUUAAUGGUGCCUGUGAUGGCGGGCUGAGAGGAGGAGGCUGACAGUUGAGCGUGUCUGCCUGCGGCCGCCCGCUAAUCGGGCCCGGGGGAUGCCCCUCCUGCCGUUGGCUCCAGGCGCCUGCCCUGCCAUCACUCAGAGGGGAGCAGGAGCCCUGGACAGGCCUGUGGGAGCUGGUGCAGAGCCCCCAUCCCUGCAGCCCCCUCCCUGUCCUUCUAUUAUUAUUAUCAUUUUCUUUCAUAAACGGGUGGGCUCUGGCUGGACUGUUGUUCAGCAUGAGUUGGUGGAUGCCUCCCAGACGUCCUUCUCCUGAAAUGACCUCUCAUGUGCCUGUGUUGUCCUCAGGGCCAGCCAUCCCCACAGGGCCCCAUCCUUUUGUCCCUGCUUCCCUGGGAGAGGCGGGUUGGGUGGAGCCCAGGAACCGUGUCCUGUCCGGACAGCAGGCAUCAGUUAAAUGCCCCGGCCUGAGUCCUCGGGGCCUGGGGGCAGCUAUUUGAGCCCAGAGCCUUGUCUGGUGGGGUGAGGAAGUGUGUUGUGUUUGUCAGGGUUACAAGAAUCCUGGCCAGCUCUGUCCACAGUGGGCCUGGGCUUGACCAUUUAUCACCUGGCAGCAGCAAUAAUGAAGCCCCUGCUGUAUGCUGGGGCCUGCAGCUGGUAUGUUCACUUUGGUUCAUUUUACUUGGCAGUUUUCUGAGGAGUGUGGUAUUUCUCACCUUGCUUUUGUAGAGGGGGAGACUGAGGGGCAGAGAGGCAAAGCGAUUUGCCCUAAGGGGCACAGUGCCCUACGUGACCUAGCUAGCAUAGGACAAAGCUGGGGUUCAACCCAGACCCAAACUGUCCAAUGCUCAUACAUCAGGGGACUUUGGGAAACUUGAGGGCCAGUUUAGGAACCAGCAGACUGAUUUAGAAGUGAGGAAAUAGUCCCUGGGUACUGGGAAUGGAGUGAGUAGUGUUAAUAUAUGCAUCUCUCUCCCUGUUCCACUUAAGAUCAUCUUCAUUGAGAUGUAAUUAACCUAUAAUGAUGCACCCAUUUUAAGGGUUCAAUUGCAUGUGUUUUGACAAAUGUAAACAUUUGCAUCACCUCCACAAUCAGAAUAAAGUGUUUCUGUUCCCCCCAAAUCCCCACCAGUCCCUUGGCACUAAAUCUCUAGCACCCACCUCCACCCCCCACCCCCGACUAGAGGUACCCACUGAUCUGCUGUUAUAGAAGCUUUUAACUCUUCUAGAAUUUUAUAAUAAAAUUAUCAUUUUAUUAUAUACUAUACUUUGUUGUGUCUGGCUUCUUUCACUCUGCAUAACCCAUGUUGCUCAUGUAUCAAUUCAUUCUUUCUCAUGGCUAAGUAGUAUUUCAUUCUGUGGAUAUAUUACAGUUUAUCCAUUCAUCAGUUGAUGGACAUCAAAGUUUCCAGUUUUUGGCUAUUGGGAAUAAAGCUGCUCUGAACAUUCUUGUGUAAGUCUUUGUGUGAACAUGUUUUCUUUUUUCUUAUGUGAAUAUCUAGGCAUUGGGUUGCUAGGUCACAUGGUAAAUGUGUUAUUUUAGUUUAUAAGAAACCACCAGCUGUUUUCUAAAGUGGCUGUCCCAUUUUGCAUGCCCACCUGCAGUGGAUGAGAGUUCCAGUUGCUCCCCAUCCUUGUCAGCACUUGCUACUGUCAAUCUUUUAAUGUUAGCCGUUCCAGGAGACCCUAAUGCACAUGCGAUUACAUUUUUCAGCUUUUGCUGCCUUUUGGGCAAAGCUGUGGUUCUGUGUUUUGAUUUUAUGUGUCUGGCCAGCUGGUGGGAGUCUAAAGGAUGGUGGGAGAUAAUCUCGUGUCUGCCAACGCUAGCUCUGUGUUUUCCUUUCUAGUCUUUAUGCUGCUGACUGACUGCUUCUCGUCCGGCUGCAGUGGUUGAGACCACAGUGCAGUGCCGGAUUGCACCAGUUGGGUUGUUUGGGGUUAGUUAGCUGUGAGUGUUGUUAUUUAUUUUUUUAUUUUUUAUUUUUUUUGAGACAGAGUCUUGCUCUGUCGCCCAGGCUGGAGUGCCAUGGCAUGAUCUUGGCUCACUGCAACCUCCGCCUCCCGGGUUCAAGCGAUUCUCCUGCCUCAACCUCCCAAGUAGCUGGGAUUACAGGCAUGCGCCACCACAUCUGGCUAGUUUUUGUAUUUUUUUUUUUUAGUAGAGACGGGGUUUUGCCAUGUUGGCCAGGCUGUUCUUGAACUCCUGACCUCAGGUCAUCCACUUACUUUGGCCUCCCAAAGUGCUAGGAUUAGUGAGUGUUUUUUUUUUUUUUUUUUUUUUUGAGUCGGAGUUUCGCUCUUAUCGUGCAGGCUGGAGUGCAAUGGCACGAUCUCGGCUCACUGCAACCUCCGCCUCCCGGGUUCAAGCAAUUCUCCUGCCUCAGCCUCCCUAGAAGCUGGGAUUAUAGGCAUGCGCCACCACGCCUGGCUAAUUUUGUAUUUUUAGUAGAGACGGGGUUUCUCUGUGUUGGCCAGGCUGGUCUCGAAUUCCCGACCUCUGGAGGGCGAGAUGGGAAGGACACGGACGGGGGCAGAUGACCUCAGUGCAAAGUCCCAGGGAUCCAGGUGGACCCGUCUUUAUGCUGCAGUUGGGUUUGUAAACCUACUGGAGCUUCGAAGUGGGAGCACCCCAUGGCAGUGACAGCAGCAGUCCUAACAGGGUUUGUGAUCGUCCUUGUGUCACACUUCACAUGUUAUAAUUUAUUUAAUUGACUGGGCACAGUGGCUCACGUCUGUAACAUUGCCUGUGCCUUCGAGUUUAGUAUCCAGAGGGGGAGUGUCAGUUAAACAAGCAAGUGCUAUCGCGGGUGGUGAGGGUUGUGAGGACGAGGUUCAGGCAUUCACCUGGGUGAGGCAAGAGCUGAAUUAGUCUUCCAUCAGGCCAGGCGUCCAGGGACGAGUCAUUCAAGGGGAGACCUGGGGGUGAUUAGUUAGGGGCAGUUAGUUAGGGCUCCUGAGUUGUGGCAGAGACACACUCGAGCCGAGUUAGGCUAUGACGGGGA